UACGGGGGGGGCAAGCGUUGUUCGGAAUUACUGGGCGUAAAGGGUUUGUGGGUGGCCGGCUAAGUCAGACGUGAAAUCCCUCAGCUUAACUGGGGAACUGCGUCUGGGACUGGUCGGCUUGAGGGCCGGAGAGGAACGCGGAAUUCCAGGUGUAGCGGUGAAAUGCGUAGAUAUCUGGAGGAACACCGGUGGCGAAGGCGGCGUUCUGGACGGCAUCUGACACUGAGAAACGAAAGCCAGGGGAGCAAACGGG
rnacentral:rRNA from 1 species